rnacentral:rRNA from 1 species
AAGUGGCGUACGGGUGAGUAACACGUGGGUAAUCUACCUUCUGGUGGGGAAUAACAUUGGGAAACCGAUGCUAAUACCGCAUAACCCCGCAAGGGAAAAGGAGAAAUUCGCCGGAAGAGGAGCCCGCGGCUGAUUAGCUAGUUGGUAGGGUAACGGCCUACCAAGGCGAAGAUCGGUAGCCGGCCUGAGAGGGCACACGGCCACACUGGCACUGAAACACGGGCCAGACUCCUACGGGAGGCAGCAGUGGGGAAUCUUGCACAAUGGGGGCAACCCUGAUGCAGCGACGCCGCGUGAGCGAUGAAGCCCUUCGGGGUGUAAAGCUCUUUCGGCAGGAACGAUAAUGACGGUACCUGAAGAAGAAGCUGCGGCUAACUACGUGCCAGCAGCCGCGGUAAUACGUAGGCAGCAAGCGUUGUUCGGAGUUACUGGGCGUAAAGAGUGCGUAGGCGGUUUUCUAAGUUUGGUGUGAAAUCUCCCGGCUCAACUGGGAGGGUGCGCCGAAAACUGGAAGGCUUGAGUAUGGGAGAGGUAAGCGGAAUUCCUGGUGUAGCGGUGAAAUGCGUAGAUAUCAGGAGGAACACCUGUGGUGUAGACAGCUUACUGGACCAUCAC